rnacentral:misc_RNA from 1 species
GUAGGUGAACCUGCGGAAGGAUCAUUAUUGAAAUAAACCUGAUGGGUUGUUGCUGGUUCUCUAGGGAGCAUGUGCACGCCUUGUCAUCUUUAUAUCUCCACCUGUGCACCUUUUGUAGACCUUGGAUAUUUUUCCAUGGUCUAUGUUGCUUCAUUUACCCCCAAUGUAUGUUAAUAGAAUGUUUGUGCCUAUAAAAUUUAUACAACUUUCAGCAACGGAUCUCUUGGCUCUC